UAUCGAUAAUAAAUUCAUCGGAUAUUUGGAUGGUGAGAAUUUCAAAAUCGAAUUCAGAAAGAAUUGGUUCUUCAUGUUCAGUCUGAGAAGAACUGGGGGUAUCAACCUUAUAAAUGGGGUGUUGGACCUGGUUUGAAGCUUUUCUUAAUUCUUCAAUAACUAUCCUCUCAUUAUGAGCUUUUUCAUAAUCAGUUUGAGGAAUAGAGGAGGUUGAAGUUCUAGGUGAAACUCUGGGAU
rnacentral:lncRNA from 1 species